UUUCCGUAGGUGNACCUGCGGAAGGAUCAUUG
rnacentral:rRNA from 2 species